rnacentral:lncRNA from 1 species
ACUUUUACAGUUAUAUACUUAGUACUUUGUUAUUGAUAUGAAUCACAUUAUUAUAUCUGACACAUUCUAUAGGUAGUGACUGGACAGGAAGAACAACCCAGUGAGAGCACAGUUGGAAGUUGGAAAUAUCUCCAGCCUUUGUCCUUCACUCGUGACCCCCUCAGCCUGGAAACCCUGGCAUAUUGCUAAAGCUCCUCUUAGAGAAAAUAGCUCCAAUGCUUCAGCUCUUCCAUCCGGAGAACUUCCCCAGGGGCCUUCACCUUAGGAACUCUCUGCCUACAACUUGCCACUCCCUGGAUGUGUCCCAGGACCUUUUGUACUCAUUCUAUGAGCUCAUCUCCCAGGACAGAUGAUGUCAUGGCACUGUGUCUCCUUGUCGCUACUCAGAUGCUUGGGACAAGAGCAAUACUACAACAGGUAUCAGAAGCUCUCCUGACAGCCUCAGGAAGCCAGGGAGACCUCUGCUCCAAAAAUUUAACUAGGAGAAAAAAAUGCAUUCUCUACUUUCAUUCCAAACUUACUAGUCACU